rnacentral:lncRNA from 1 species
ACGCUACAAGAACUAUUUUUGAUCGAUUGGUGUAUACAUUUUAAGAUAGAAUUAAUGAAAAUGACUCCUAUUAUAAGAAAUUUAUGUGCAGUUUCGAUAACAAGGUUACUCCCUGCAAUUUUGUAUCAAAGAUCUCUUUCAUUUAUGUAGUGCAUAUUGGGGUUAUUCAUAAGUUACUUAAGCCCAUCUUGGAUUCGAAAGGCUUCAGUUUUAAAUAUCUCAGAAAGCGACAUGACCAAAUUUCUUAACAGUGUAUCAUCUGGAAAGAAAAUUUUGCUUACAAGGAAAAUCGACUUCUACACACUUAUAAUUAUAUCUUUGACAAGGAAAGUCAGAUCAGUGUUGGUUCACGGGAAAAAAUCUUCAAGUAUAAAGAGGGAGCCUAUAAUCUCGAUGAAUUCUUGUAAGAUAUUUCAAAAGGCGAAGAUGCGGCUUCUCACUUCCAAGGUACAUAAUCUUCAUGUGAACUAUUCUACCAACCCUAGAGUCUUUGGUUCAACAUUUUGAUAAAACCUCUCACGGAGUCAAAUAUUCAAAACCUGAUUCUAAAGAAGCUUAAUAAAGUGGAGGACUUUUUACAUUAUUUUUAUAUAAAACAAAAAUAUAAAUAUAUAUUUAAUACUUAAAACUAA